AAUUCUCGCCGGACUUGUUUCUAGAGAGAAAGAGUUGAGAGGAUUUGAGGGUUAGAGAGAGAAAGUUUAGUUGAAAUGAAAGAUUUUAGGGGUAAAACCCUUUAUAUAGUGAAGGUUUUGUGGGCUUGGGCACAAGGCCCACAAGCCUGUUUCUAGCAUUUUGAACCCCCCGAUCUCGUUUCUAAAGCCCGUUUUGCACCGGAACGUCGUGUAAUGUCGUACAAUGUCAUUUUAGGAUCGAGGGUAUGUAAAAUAGCGUCGGAAGUUGACGGUUGACGCGUUCGUUCGUCAGUUGCGUUAAAAUCGCGAAAUUUGCUCAAGAGGUCGUUUCUAAUCCGUUUUUCGAUCCGAUUUCGACUGUAACUACUAAAAUUCCAUUACGGAACUAAAUAUAGCGUAAAAUGUAAGUUCUGAAGGUGACAAACGCCUCCGUCGCUUUCGUUUCGUUGCCGAUGCGUUUCCUGCUAUCGCGUUUUUAGUUCACGUUUGCGUUUGGGUCGCACAGAAACCCAAUACAUUCGUAAAAUUAUAUUUAUAAAAUAUUCGUAGAAAAUCCGUAUUUGUCGGCGUUGUCAGUAUUUUGCACGGUAUCAGUUCGUUGUUGCAGAUUCCACGCGAAUCUUCAUACGCGUACUGUAAAGUCGGAUAGACGUCCCUGGGCACUCCAAAUGCCUAAUUAAGUUAAUUUGCGUCUUAAACACUAUUUAUUGUCGUGUUAAUCACCUGUUAAUCACAUAAUUAAGAGCCGUAAAUCACCGGUUGUCACAUUCUCCCCCUGUUACAGAAAUUUCGUCCUCGAAAUUUUGUCUAUGUUGUCUCCUCAUAGUUGUGUCGUUCGCAGGACAUUUUGCAUCACUAAGAACUCAAUGGUUCAACUAAGUUUGUUAUAG
rnacentral:lncRNA from 1 species